GAUGAAGAACGUAGCGAAAUGCGAUAAGUAGUGUGAAUUGCAGAAUUCAGUGAAUCAUCGUAUCUUUGAACGCACAUUGCGCCCCUCGGUAUUCCGUGGGGCAUGCCUGUUCGAGCGUCAUUUAACCCCUCAAGCCUAGCUUGGUAUUGGGUGCUUGUCCCGCCUCUCGCGCGGCGACUCACCUCAAAGUCAUUGGCAGCCCGCAUCUCGCCGGCCGUGAGCGCAGCACAGACGCGCUCUUGGCAACGACGGAUCGGCUCUCCAAAAGCUUAUUUCAACCACUGACCUCGGAUCAGGUAGGGAUACCCGCUGAACUUAAGCAUAUCAAUAAGCGGAGGA
rnacentral:misc_RNA from 1 species